rnacentral:lncRNA from 1 species
CGUACCUUGGCCUUCAAUGUGCCUGGGGGGGUUGUGGCUGUGGGCCGGCUGGACAGUAUGGUGGAGCUGUGGGCCUGGCGAGAAGGGGCACGGCUGGCUGCCUUCCCUGCCCACCAUGGCUUUGUUGCUGCUGCGCUUUUCCUGCAUGCGGGUUGCCAGUUACUGACGGCUGGAGAGGAUGGCAAGAUGGUGAUCGGGUGGCUGUUGGAUAUCGAGCGGAUGGCAUUAGGAUCUACAAAAUCUCUUCAGGUUCCCAGGGGGCUCAGGGUCAGGCACUGGAUGUGGCAGUGUCCGCCCUGGCCUGGCUAAGCCCCAAGGUAUUGGUGAGUGGUGCAGAAGAUGGGUCCUUGCAGGGCUGGGCACUCAAGGAAUGCUCCCUUCAGUCCCUCUGGCUCCUGUCCAGAUUCCAGAAGCCUGUGCUAGGACUGGCCACUUCCCAGGAGCUCUUGGCUUCUGCCUCAGAGGAUUUCACAGUGCAGCUGUGGCCAAGGCAGCUGCUGACGCGGCCACACAAGGCAGAAGACUUUCCCUGUGGCACUGAGCUGCGGGGACAUGAGGGCCCUGUGAGCUGCUGUAGUUUCAGCACUGAUGGAGGCAGCCUGGCCACCGGGGGCCGGGAUCGGAGUCUCCUCUGCUGGGACGUGAGGACACCCAAAACCCCUGUUUUGAUCCACUCCUUCCCUGCCUGUCACCGUGACUGGGUCACUGGCUGUGCCUGGACCAAAGAUAACCUACUGAUAUCCUGCUCCAGUGAUGGCUCUGUGGGGCUCUGGGACCCAGAGUCAGGACAGCGGCUUGGUCAGUUCCUGGGUCAUCAGAGUGCUGUGAGCGCUGUGGCAGCUGUGGAGGAGCACGUGGUGUCUGUGAGCCGGGAUGGGACCUUGAAAGUGUGGGACCAUCAAGGCGUGGAGCUGACCAGCAUCCCUGCUCACUCAGGACCCAUUAGCCACUGUGCAGCUGCCAUGGAGCCCCGUGCAGCUGGACAGCCUGGGUCAGAGCUUCUGGUGGUAACCGUCGGGCUAGAUGGGGCCACACGGUUAUGGCAUCCACUCUUG